AAAUAACAAUGAUUCCCGUAGUAACGGCGAGUGAAGUGGGAUCAGUCCAACGUUGAAAGCUGUAUCCCUCACAGAUACUGCAUUGUAACGUAUAGACCUGUCAUCGAGGUAUGCUUUCGUACUAAAGUCGUUUAGAACAACGCACCAUAGAGGGUUAUAGUCCCGUAUGUGGUGCGAGAGUGUACUGUGAAUGACAGCGUCAAAGAGUCGGAUUGUUUGGGAAUGCAGUCCAAAGUGGGUGGUAAACUCCAUCUAAGACUAAAUAUAGCUUCGAGACCGAUAGCGAACAAGUACCGUGAGGGAAAGUUGAAAAGCACUCUGAAAAGAAAGUGAAAAGUACGUGAAACCGUCAAUGGGGAAGCGAACUGUAUAGUCGUAGUGUCGUGGUGUUUAGUUUUGAUGUUUUCGAAUUUUGAUUCUUUAGCAUUGCGACGCGCGCUAGGCUUUUUGUUAAAUGCUAUUGGCAUGAUAUGUAGCUGUGGAUGCUGGUGACCUUGCAAGAGGAUGCCGUGUGUACAGUGCAUGUCGUUUGUUGUAGAAUAGAUUGACAAAAAUGUAUGUGUGAGUAUCUGCUACGUUUUAAUGAUAAGUUGCAGUAUAAUAUUGGUACUAAUGUAUUGGUAUGUACGUGAUGAUGCGUUAAGAUGUAAUGGAUGCCAUAACGAUAGUUGCACAUGUAUUCCUAGCGAGAUAUGAUACUGUU
rnacentral:rRNA from 1 species